rnacentral:misc_RNA from 1 species
GUGAAUCAUCGAAUCUUUGAACGCAUAUUGCACUCUCUGGUAAUCCGGAGAGUAUGCCUGUUUGAGGGUAAUUAAAAAGAAUCUUUAACCAAUGGUUGUUGGUCAAAGGAAAUGAGCCAUAAGCGAGUAUAGCAAUAGCUGGAAAUAAAUGGUCAAGUCGCAGUUUAGUGUAGACGCGGAAGAAGAUUAUUUCGCGAAAUCUUCAUUAUGGGACAAUAAAGUU